rnacentral:misc_RNA from 1 species
GAUGAAGAACGUAGCGAAAUGCGAUAAGUAAUGUGAAUUGCAGAAUUCAGUGAAUCAUCGAAUCUUUGAACGCACCUUGCACCCUUUGGCAUUCUGAGGGUAUGCUCGUUUGAGUGUCAUUGUACUCUCACACUCCCGAUCUUUGCAUUGGGAGCAGUGGACUUGGGUUUGCUGCUUCACCGUCGCUUACCUCAAAUAGGUUAGUGCAACUCUUGGUUGGACAUAGUACGGCGUGAUAAGUGUUCUUCGCCGGUGCCUCGCAAAGAGGGUGGCCGAUCGGGAUGUUGUGCUCCAAACCGUCUUCGGACAAUCUCUGACGACUUGACCUCAAAUCGAGUAAGACUACCCGCUGAACUUAAGCAUAUCAAUAAGCGGAGGA